rnacentral:rRNA from 1 species
UACGAAGGGGGCUAGCGUUGCUCGGAAUCACUGGGCGUAAAGCGCACGUAGGCGGCUUUCUAAGUCGGGGGUGAAAUCCUGGAGCUCAACUCCAGAACUGCCUUCGAUACUGGAGAGCUUGAGUCCGGGAGAGGUGAGUGGAACUGCGAGUGUAGAGGUGAAAUUCGUAGAUACUCGCAAGAACACCAGUGGCGAAGGCGGCUCACUGGCCCGGUACUGACGCUGAGGUGCGAAAGCGUGGGGAGCGAACAGG